GAUGAACGCUGGCGGCGUGCCUAAUACAUGCAAGUCGAGCGAACAGACGAGGAGCUUGCUCCUUCGACGUUAGCGGCGGACGGGUGAGUAACACGUAGGUAACCUACCUAUAAGACUGGGAUAACUUCGGGAAACCGGAGCUAAUACCGGAUAAUAUUUCGAACCGCAUGGUUCGAUAGUGAAAGAUGGCUUUGCUAUCACUUAUAGAUGGACCUGCGCCGUAUUAGCUAGUUGGUAAGGUAACGGCUUACCAAGGCAACGAUACGUAGCCGACCUGAGAGAGUGAUCGGCCACACUGGAACUGAGACACGGUCCAGACUCCUACGGGAGGCAGCAGUAGGGAAUCUUCCGCAAUGGGCGAAAGCCUGACGGAGCAACGCCGCGUGAGUGAUGAAGGUCUUCGGAUCGUAAAACUCUGUUAUUAGGGAAGAACAAACGUGUAAGUAACUGUGCACGUCUUGACGGUACCUAAUCAGAAAGCCACGACUAACUACGUG
rnacentral:rRNA from 1 species